AUGGGACAGGUCCUGGUGACAACGUGGCAGCACGGGGAGGUGAUGCGGCAGGUCGCAAGAGCCAUCGGGGCCAGGCCAGAGCAGGCCCUCGCGCAGGCCCAGCGGGAGGAGGCUCCCCCUCUGCAGCGCAAGCUUGAGGGAGCCGCCUUCCUGCUCCAGCUGGCGGCCGAGGCAGUCAGCACCAGGCAGCGGCUCCUGGGCUACUGUGGGCCACAUCUGGGGCUUGGGGCCCGCACGGACCAGGGACGCCGUGAGCCUCCCGCCAUGACCGCCACACUCGGGCAGGCCCUGGGCCUCCUGCCCGCCCUUCUGUUGGGACUCACAGCGGGGCAGCCCUUCAUCACGCUGGUGGGCCCGGCUCAGAGGACAGCCCCUGGGAACUCGGUGCCUUUCAACUGCACCGCUGGCGCCUUCAGGUCCCAGGACAUCAAUGUCACUUGGAUGAAGGACGGAGAUGAGCGUCCAGCCUCAGUUCAGCGCCUCGUGACUGAUGACAAAGGCAAUUACUCUGUCACCAGUAAGGUGUGGGUGACACUGGUGCGCCAAGAUGUCUCAUCAGAGAUCACCUGUAAAGUCACCCACAGGGACCUGGCAGAGCCCCUGCACAAGACCAUGAACCUCUCCCAAGUGCUACGAGUUGUCCCCACUGUGAAGAUCAGCAACCAGCGCUCGGAGGCAUCUGUCUCCCAUCAGAGAGUGAAUCUCACUUGCCAAGCGAGCCACUUCUACCCCUCCCACCUGCAUCUCACCUGGAUGGAGAACAGGCACACGGUCCAGACCGUGCUGUCCCCCCAGGUCACGAGAAACUCAGACGGGACCUACUCCCUGGAGCACACGUGGCAGGCAGAGGCCACGCUGCAGGGGAGCGAGUUUGCCUGCUGGGUGGUCCAGGACGAUCAGCCCCCAGUCCAGGCCAACAUCACCCUGCGGGCUCGGCCACCCAGGACGGAUAAAGACAAGAGGAGCGGCGGCUCCUCUUACAUCUUGCAAGGCCCGCUUCAGCGAUCUGAGCCGGGCACAAGCAUCCGACUGACGUUCAUGUCCUCCGGAUUCCCCACACAGCAGGUCAUGGUGACCUGGCUUAAAAACAGCCUCAAGCUGCCAAACCCCCAGACCAGCGCCCACCUGGGUGGAGACACUUACAAUGUGACCAGCAGCGUGCUCGUCACCCUGCAGGCUGACGACAUGCUCUCCCACGUGCUCUGCCUCGUCCACUACAAGUCGAAACUGAUUUGGCAGCAAGCAAUCACCCUGGACCAGUACCUCCGUGUUUCUCCUGCAGUGACAGUAUCCCAGGCUUCACACUUCUCAGACUUGGUGGCCAUUACUUGCCACGUGCAGAGAUUCUAUCCACAAAGUGUAAACCUCACCUGGCUGGAGAACUGCAACAGGUUCAAGGGAGCUGAGCAUUCCUCGCUCAAACAGAACAGCGACGGGACCUACUUCCUGGAAAGCUUGCAGUGGGUGAACGUGUCAAUGCAAGGAUCUGAGCGGGUGCUCACCUGUAUGGUACAGCAUGACACACAGCCUCCCAUCCGGGCCAGCCACAUACUGUUCCCAGCAGCCCACACCACGUACAAGCCCACUGAAAGCCCAGGUCCAGGGAUGUCUGCCAUCAUUUUUGUGGCUCUCCUCCUGGGCCUCAAGGUGCUGCUGCUGACGGGUUUCACAGUCACCCACAUCUGCAGGUGGUGUGACCUGUAA